UGAAGAGUAACCGUUUGUACAAGAUCGUCCAGUCGUGAUUUGUUGGUCGCCAUGAUUAUACUACGGCCCAACAUAGCAUGGAUGUAUUAACGUGAGACAUCUACAAGAAUUCUUAUUGUUCAAUAAGGAAGCGUAAAAAAGGUUACGUUUGGUGUAACCACGCCACGGUGGUAUUAAAAGAUCUGCCAGAGGGAACAAACUUAUGUUAGGAAUCAAGAUUUUCAGUACUGUUGACUACUAUGAUAGGAGGUGUUGUUGUCGCUGUUAAACGUGCUGCUAUGUGGUCAAAAUUGAUACUAGUAGAAGCAAUAGUGUCGAAAUUGAUAACUUCUAGGACUGCGUUUAUUUCCGAUCUCUUAUUUCAACACUCAUCAUUCAUAGUUCGCAAAUAUCAAUUGUAUACCUAGGUAUUUAUGUACUGUUAUCUUAUAUUGUUACAAUUAUUACCACGUUUUUUUUAUAGUACUUUUUCUGUAAAACUAGUGACAAAAUAAUUGUUAUGAAGAUCUGGUACAAAAUCGAUAGCGGCAAAUAAUUUUAUCGCAGCAUUUUCUUAUUGACAGAAGUUAAUAAAACAAUAACAUCGA